UACGUAGGGUGCGAGCGUUAAUCGGAAUUACUGGGCGUAAAGCGUGCGCAGGCGGUUUUGCAAGCCGGAUGUGAAAUCCCCGGGCUCAACCCGGGAAUGGCAUUCGGGACUGCAAGGCUGGAGUGCGGCAGAGGAGACUGGAAUUCCUGGUGUAGCAGUGAAAUGCGUAGAUAUCAGGAGGAAUACCGAUGGCGAAGGCAGGUCUCUGGGCUGACACUGACGCUCAUGCACGAAAGCGUGGGGAGCAAACAGG
rnacentral:rRNA from 1 species